GACGAACGCUGGCGGCGUGCUUAACACAUGCAAGUCGAGCGGUAAGGCCCUUUCGGGGGUACACGAGCGGCGAACGGGUGAGUAACACGUGGGUGACCUGCCCUCAGCUCUGGGAUAAGCCCGGGAAACUGGGUCUAAUACCGGAUAUGACUCCAUGACGCAUGUUGUGGGGUGGAAAGCCUUGUGCGGCUGAGGAUGGGCCCGCGGCCUAUCAGCUUGUUGGUGGGGUGAUGGCCUACCAAGGCGACGACGGGUAGCCGGCCUGAGAGGGCUACCGGCCACACUGGGACUGAGACACGGCCCAGACUCCUACGGGAGGCAGCAGUGGGGAAUCUUGCGCAAUGGGCGAAAGCCUGACGCAGCGACGCCGCGUGAGGGAUGACGGCCUCGGUGUAAC
rnacentral:rRNA from 1 species